rnacentral:rRNA from 1 species
UACGUAGGGCGCAAGCGUUGUCCGGAAUUAUUGGGCGUAAAGAGCUUGUAGGCGGUCUGUCGCGUCUGCUGUGAAAAUCCGGGGCUCAACCCCGGACUUGCAGUGGGUACGGGCAGACUAGAGUGUGGUAGGGGAGACUGGAAUUCCUGGUGUAGCGGUGAAAUGCGCAGAUAUCGGGAGGAACACCGGUGGCGAAGGCGGUUCUCUGGGCCUGUACUGACGCUGAGGAGCGAAAGCGUGGGGAGCGAACAGG